rnacentral:rRNA from 1 species
AGCGUAGGCGGUCAAGCAAGUCAGAGGUGAAAGGCAUCGGCUCAACCGAUGUAAGCCUUUGAAACUGUUUGACUUGAGUGCAGGAGAGGUAAGUGGAAUUCCUAGUGUAGCGGUGAAAUGCGUAGAUAUUAGGAGGAACACCAGUGGCGAAGGCGACUUACUGGACUGUAACUGACGCUGAGGCUCGAAAGCGUGGGGAGCGAACA